GACGAACGCUGGCGGCGUGCUUAACACAUGCAAGUCGAACGAUGAAGCUGGAGCUUGCUCCGGUGGAUUAGUGGCGAACGGGUGAGUAACACGUGAGAAAUCUGCCCUUGACUCUGGGAUAACUGCGGGAAACUGUAGCUAAUACCGGAUAUUUUCCUUGGUGGGCAUCCAGUGGGGAAGAAAGAAUUCCGGUCAAGGAUGACACCGCGGCCUAUCAGCUAGUUGGGGCGGUAAUGGCUCACCAAGGCGACGACGGGUCGCCGGCCUGAGAGGGUGACCGGCCACACUGGGACUGAGACACGGCCCAGACUCCUACGGGAGGCAGCAGUGGGGAAUAUUGCACAAUGGGCGCAAGCCUGAUGCAGCAACGCCGCGUGAGGGAUGAAGGCCUUCGGGUUGUAAACCUCUUUUAGCAGGGAAGAAGCGAAAGUGACGGUACCUGCAGAAAAAGCACCGGCUAACUACGUGCCAGCAGCCGCCGUAA
rnacentral:rRNA from 1 species